UUAGAGGCAAACGGAUGGACCCGCAAUGGGUCGGCCCGGGGGAUUCAACCGGUCCGUGCGUUCGGGACGCGUGGGGGUUAUGCGGAGCUGUAAAGCCCGUGCCUUUGCGUGGGUCUCCGGGCGGACCGGUGCACUUUCCUCGGGUCGACGGCCACGACCGGCUCUCCGUGCGGCCACAAGCCUGUCGCUGGGAAGGUGACCGUCGGCCCCGCGCCGGCGGCGUUAUAGCCCAGCCAGUAUCGUUGAGCUCGUCGGAGGGCCGAGGAAGCUUGCCGUUUCUCAGCCACCCUCCGGCCAUCCUUGCUCGUCACGACCGGGGCGGACUGGUCGGUCAGUGCUCUCCCGACCGCGAGCGUAGGAAGGGCUGGUACGGUGCGAGAAUGCUUCGGGCCAGUGGCGAAUCGGUCGGUCCUCCAUCCGACCCGUCUUGAA
rnacentral:rRNA from 1 species